AUAAAAUUGUCGAAUUCAUAUAAAAGUUUUCAUUAUUCACGUUUUCGCUCUUAGAGAAAAAUUACAUGAUCGAUGCCUAGUAUAUUUUACAGAGCUCAAUGGUGCAGGUAGACAUUAGUUUGAAAAUGGACUGAUAUUGACCAAAAUAUGCAGAUCGUGCGAGUACUGUGUUGAAACAAACUUUCGCCAAAUAUUCGAUAGUAUAGAUUGGUAACUUAUAUCAAAGAUUGAUUUUUUGGCUCGUAAUAAUCCACACAGCACACAUGUCGAAAAUACAUUCAAAGGAUGUUCUGUUGUCCCAAAAGCAUCUUCGAUAAAUCCUCUGGACAUCUUUUGUAUAUGCUGUGCUAUCUAGAUAAGUUUUUAUAAAUUGUUUUAGGUCUAUUUUCACUAGAGAAAUAGAACAAACUGAUUGGACUAUACAUGUAACACAACAAAAAAACUUAUUUUAUCGAAAAUGCAAUGAGAAAACAAACUUUUUUUGGCCGUUGAUGUAUCACGUGUGCCACGAUUAUGAAUUGGAAUUGGCUGCAGGAUUAUAACUUGGGUUAAACUGUGCAAUUAAUCAUGCAAAUGAGAUUCUUCAUGAUUCUUAAGUACUACAGAGAAAUUUGGUUGUUAAAUGUAAAUGCAUAUUGGACAAUAUUAAUGCACUUGACUAUACAUUCCUAGAUAGAUCGUUGAAAACAUACCAUUCAUUCUAAGAAGCCAAGGGAAAAGUGUAGAUCAGAAGGAUAUAAUAUCAGGAUACUCUACAAACGAAAAUAGAUGCCAAAAACCUUUUUUUCGCAUUAAGGCAAUUGAACCCUAUACCCGGACCUUAUAUCCUAAGGUUACUUUUGUUUCGCUCUGUUUUCUAAGAAAAGAAUUUUGCAGAAAGACAUUUUUCAUUGCUCUUUAUAUCUCAGCCUGCUGAGGUUCUGCUAUGCUUUUGAUCUGUUGGUCAAUGGUUAGGUUUUCACUUGCACCCCUUUGUUAAAAUCUGUCCCUAUUAAAGUAUCACAUUUUUGUCUAUUUUCAGCCUCCUGCUUUCCUAAAUUACUAUAUUUUUGCUUUUGGUAGGCGAGGAUUUUAUAUUAUUUUUUUAACAACUCAAAUUUGGAUUCUAUUUAACAAUUUGUUAAUUAUUUUAUUUACACAAAUAUAUGAAACUAAUUAUUGUAGACAAGUUAUACGUAAAAGAUUGCGUUUGUUUUUAUAUCAAUUUCUACAUGUAAGCUUGUAACAAUCAAUUCUUUUUCUACUGCCAAAAUUAAGUUUUGAAUGUUUCAUCGAU
rnacentral:lncRNA from 1 species